GAGGGGAGUGCCCUGCUACCCACCUGGAGAGCGGGGAGAGCCUUCCUCGGGGAGCGGCCUGCACUACCAGGGGAGGUCACGAUGGAGAGAACCAGCGGCGAGGGUGGACAGAGUAUACUCCUUGACCCCUGGGCUUUGACCAUGAUUAUGUGACUUGCUUUGGCCCGUGGGAUGUUAGCAGACAGGACACAAGCAGAGGCUUGAAAAGUGCCUGCAAGUUGGAGUUUUCUUCUCUGCUCCUGCCUUUGGCCAUAAGAAGAACAUUUCCUGGGUAACCACUGGACAAGGAAGAUACGGAGACACAUAGAACAGACCUGAACCUGGCCUGUAGCUUGGAACCAAGCCCAGCUGAGCCUGGCUUAGAUUAGCCAACUUGCGAUGUGAUAUUUUUGCUUGAAGACUUGUCAAGUCCUCUCAGACAACCUGAAUGAUUGAUCUAAACCAUCCACUCUACUGGGCAGUCCUGGUGCUGAUUCUGGCCUUCUUUGCACUCACUUCCAAGACAUUUGCAGAAGUGAAAAAACCAGAUAAUCCACCAGAUAUACGUUUGGUUGACAAGGUCAAACAUCUGAAUAUAUGGAAGAUUCUGGAAGCAACAAUGGCUUAAACAAGGUAGGAAUUUAUUUCUCAUUCACAUAAAAUUUGAGUGGCUGUCCACAGUUGAUAUGGUGCUCCAUGCUAUGAAGAACUCUGACUUCUACUGUUGUUGCUCCAUUUGUGGCCUUGACCUCCUGUCCAAGAUGACAGCCUCUACAUUCCAGGCAGCAGGAUAAAGAAGAGGACAAGGAAAAGGAAGAAAAGGAACCUGCGUUGACAGACACUCCACCAUCUCUCAGUGGAUUCACCUGGAACCCAGUGCCUCCAGGACAGCUGUAACAUGGGAAGAGAAAGCACAGAGGCAGGACACCAGCUCCUAAAUGCCUCAGCCUACAAAUGGCAUUCACCAUUUCUACUCUCAGCCCAUUGGCCAGAACUAGUCACCUGGCCUCCACCUAACUAACAAGGAGGCUGGGAAAUGUGGAGAAGCAUUUGAUUAUUAUCAAUGAGCAAUAAAUGUCUCUGCCAUAUGGGUUAAAACUGUUGAAUUCAGUUAAAAAUUGUAUAUGUGUAUAUGCACAGGCAAUGAUUAAUUGCUAUAGCAAAUUGAAGUUUUGACUGAACACUCUGUCAGUAUUUCACAUCCUUUUCUUCCUCCCAACUGACUUACAGGUGGCUUGGAGCCUCAGAUUUCUUCUAUCCCUUCUAUUCCUUCUAUUCCUUCCAUCUUCUAUUCCUGCUAUCAAUUUGUGCUUGACUCUGUGGAUCCACAGUCUUAAAGAAAAGCCAUAGGAACUGAUGCUAGAUUUUCCCAUCUGGCACAGAGGAGGCCUCCUUUUAAGCAAUAAUAAAAAUAGCCUCCAUUUAUAUUUCGUUUUUCCUCCUUUGUCUCUUCUAUUGAAAGAGCCAGUUAAACAAAGUGUGUGCUUUCGGUGCCUGUUAUGUGCUCACUUUAAGAUUUAAUCAACCCUCUGAACCUGCAGCACAACUGCCUCAUAAUGUUAAGUUAAUAUAUUGAGAUCAGCUCAAACCCAUCAUUCCCAGGGGUGGUUUUGUUUAAAGGCUAGUUGUAACUGAAUUUCUAAACAACUGCCAAGCUUUCAAGGUACCAAAAUAAACAUUAUCCAAAC
rnacentral:lncRNA from 1 species